AUUUGUGUGUGCAUGUUCAUGUAUAUAUGGGCACAUGCUUGUCAUGCACAUGUCAUGGACAGAUGACAUCCUCAGAC
rnacentral:miRNA from 1 species